rnacentral:lncRNA from 1 species
CGCAUGAAUAGGUACAGGGGGAAUAAAUGUAGCUCAUUUGAAGCAGUCGUUUGACAAUGGCUCAAACGGAUAUACUUGAAGCACGAAAUGACAAAACUGUGCGUAAUGUCUACAGUCAGCAGGCAACGAGAUCAGAUGCGCGUCAAGGGCGACAUGGCGGUUCACACGGACCUUGCGCAGUGCAUGAUAAUUAUGCACACAAAUCCCAAUCAAACCACGGCGCCAAUGCGACACAUACGCGGUGAACAAGCGGCGACUGUGUCUACGACGGCAACAAAUUUCUGCGAGGUUCCACAGUUCACAUGGCUUACGAACCGCAGCUUUACGGACCGAUAAGUGACGCAGACAACGCAAGGCGUGAGCACCACACUUCAUAGAGAAUGCUCAUAUCCAUGCAGACACCCAUCCAUAAAAGCAUGUAAUGAUUCAGACAUCAAAACUAGGAACAGCGAGCAUGGUGACAUUGAUCACCAACCAGUUUUAAAAUGAACCUCAUUACCAUCAUGAGCUAAUCGGUAAAUUUUUGCUGGCGAGAGUAACUACCCGCCUCUUUCCCAUUGGCAGUGUGUGCUUUUGUAGUGGCAUGAUGAUCUUUUGAGUGCGUGAUGAGUGACGUGGAAGAGCCGAGAAUCUGUACGAAGCUCUCGUUUCCGAUACGAGAAAGAUGCCUAAACAAAUUCGCUGAAUGCUGAAACCAGUACCGAGAUCAAUCCAAGAACGAAAGCCAAAGAAACGAGUUGUUACUCUAAUCCAAAAGCGGAUGCUCAUGGAUGAUAGUAAACCACCAAACCAGAGAGCCUUCAACCGGAGAAAUGAACCACCAAACCAGAGAGCCUUCAACCAGAGAAAUGAACCACCGAACCAGAGAGCCUUCAACCG